AUUGAACGCUGGCGGCAGGCCUAACACAUGCAAGUCGAGCGAGUGGCGGACGGGUGAGUAAUGUAUGGGAAACUGCCCGAUGGAGGGGGAUAACUACUGGAAACGGUAGCUAAUACCGCAUACCAUCGGAUGUACCCAGAUGGGAUUAGCUUGUAGGUGAGGUAACGGCUCACCUAGGCGACGAUCCCUAGCUGGUCUGAGAGGAUGACCAGACACACUGGAACUGAGACACGGUCCAGACUCCGACGAGAGGCAGCAGUGGGGAAUAGUGCACAAUGGGCGCAAGCCGGAUGCAUCCAUGCCGCGUGUAUGAAGAAGGCCUUCGGGUUGUAAAGUACUUUCAGUGGGGAGGCGUUACCCGCAGAAGAAGCACCGGCUAACUCCGUGCCAGCAGCCGCGGUAAUAC
rnacentral:rRNA from 1 species